rnacentral:rRNA from 1 species
CGGGUGAGUAACACGUGACUAACCUACCUUCGAGUGGGGAAUAACCUCGGGAAACCGGGGCUAAUACCGCAUAACAUCAUCGGGUGAAAUUCCUGCUGAUCAAAAGUUUUUUGCUUGAAGAGGGGGUCGCGGCUGAUUAGCUAGUUGGUGAGGUGAUGGCUCACCAAGGCGAUGAUCAGUAGCCGGCCUGAGAGGGCGCACGGCCACACUGGAACUGAAACACGGUCCAGACUCCUACGGGAGGCAGCAGUGGGGAAUUUUGCGCAAUGGGGGAAACCCUGACGCAGCAACGCCGCGUGGAGGAUGAAGUCCCUUGGGACGUAAACUCCUUUCGAUCGGGACGAAUAAUGACGGUACCGGAAGAAGAAGCCCCGGCUAACUUCGUGCCAGCAGCCGCGGUAAUACGAGGGGGGCAAGCGUUGUUCGGAAUUAUUGGGCGUAAAGGGCGCGUAGGCGGUGCGGAAAGUCUUCAGUGAAAUCUCUGGGCUCAACUCAGAGUCUGCUGGGGAAACUCCCGUGCUUGAGUGUAGGAGAGGUGAGUGGAAUUCCCGGUGUAGCGGUGAAAUGCGUAGAUAUCGGGAGGAAC